rnacentral:rRNA from 1 species
AUUGAACGCUGGCGGCAUGCUUUACACAUGCAAGUCGAACGGCAGCGGGGUAGUGCUUGCACUACUGCCGGCGAGUGGCGAACGGGUGAGUAAUAUAUCGGAACGUACCGAGUAAUGGGGGAUAACCAAUCGAAAGAUUGGCUAAUACCGCAUACGUCCUGAGGGAGAAAGCGGGGGAUCGCAAGACCGCGCGUGAUUCUAGCGGCCGAUAACUGAUUAGCUAGUUGGUGGGGUAAGGGCCUACCAAGGCGGCGAUCAGUAGCGGGUCUGAGAGGACGAUCCGCCACACUGGGACUGAGACACGGCCCAGACUCCUACGGGAGGCAGCAGUGGGGAAUUUUGGACAAUGGGGGCAAGCCUGAUCCAGCCAUGCCGCGUGUAUGAAGAAGGCCUUCGGGUUGUAAAGUACUUUUGUUAGGGAAGAAAAGGGAAGUGCUAAUACCACUUUUUGCUGACGGUACCUAAAGAAUAAGCACCGGCUAACUACGUG